rnacentral:rRNA from 1 species
GAUGAACGCUGGCGGCGUGCCUAACACAUGCAAGUCGAACGGAAAGGCCCUGCUAUUGUGCGGUUCCCGAUUGCCGAACGCGUGAGUAACACGUGUGUAUCCUGCCCUUGUCUUUCGGAUAACUUCAGGAAACGGGGGCUAAUACCGGAUAGCAUCCCCUGCUGCAUGGUGGGGGUGGGAAAGUCUCGGCGGGUGGGGAUGGAUGCGCGGAUUAUCAGCUUGUUGGUGGGGUAGUGGCUUACCCAGGCUUUGACGGGUCGCCGGCCUGAGAGGGUGACCGGCGACAUUGGGACUGAGAGACGGCCCAGACUCCUACGGGAGGCAGCAGUGGGGAAUAUUGCACAAUGGGCGGAAGCCUGAUGCAGCAACGCCGCGUGCGGGAUGACGGCCUUCGGGUUGUAAACCGCUUUCGCCUGUGACGAAGCGUGAGUGACGGUAAUGGGUAAAGAAGCACCGGCUAACUACGUG